rnacentral:rRNA from 1 species
GAUGAACGCUAGCGGGAGGCUUAACACAUGCAAGUCGAGGGGCAGCAUAGGGUAGCAAUACUCUGAUGGCGACCGGCAAACGGGUGAGUAACGCGUAUGCAACCUACCCUGUACAGGGGGAUAACCCGGAGAAAUUCGGACUAAUAUCCCGUAAUAAUAUCCGGAGGCAUCUUUGGAUAUUUAAAGUUCCGACGGUACGGGAUGGGCAUGCGUAACAUUAACUGGUUGGUAAGGUAACGGCUUACCAAGGCUAUGAUGUUUAGGGGUCCUGAGAGGGUGGUCCCCCACACUGGUACUGAGACACGGACCAGACUCCUACGGGAGGCAGCAGUGAGGAAUAUUGGUCAAUGGGCGCAAGCCUGAACCAGCCAUCCCGCGUGCAGGAAGACGGCCCUAUGGGUUGUAAACUGCUUUUCCAGGGAGAGAAACUUACGCACGUGUUGCGUGACUGACGGUACCCUGGGAAUAAGCAUCGGCUAACUCCGUGCCAGCAGCCGCGGUAAUAGU